AAAAACUGUACUUGACUCUAACUAAGUGCUAUUUUUGCAUUGAUCAUGAUAGGAGCAUUUUUUUUUUUUUUUUGAUGGGCCAUCACACAGUGGAUUUAUAAAAAUGAGAUUACAGAACAUCAGACGGUAGCUUCAACAGAGUUGAAGUGGGAGGACAUCAUCAAUUAAGAAUGCCAUUGACCAAACCUUCAGUCAUCAAAGAAGAUGGAUACAGGGGGACAUCCAGUUUUCCAGACUUACCGAUGGGAAAGAAGAAAUGGGAAUGUGAGAAUUAUUGAGAAACUCAGGGAAAAAGCAUCUUUAGAGAAGAAAAUGGACAUCAGACAUUUAUUGAAGAAAGCUGACAGUCAACAUAAUGAUGAGAGCUGUGUUAUACAAUGUUAAGGAUACUCGUUCAUCUUCUGCUGUGUGAAUUCUGCUGUGUCAGUCCUGUGGGACUUGAUGCCGGCUGGUAGCAGUGUGACGUCUUUGCUUACUAAAUGAUCAAAGGGUGUCUGAAAUCAGCUCAGCCACAGUUGGUUUCCAACGGUUCUUCAGGACAUGGAGGCCACUACGUAACUGUUGCAAUGAACGAUUCUUUUGCCUUUCCACCUGAUGUUGACAAUCUGACCUGUGCGGUACUGAAAACCACUUGCACUGACAUAUCUUAAAAUAUAUCAGUGUCCUUUGUUUUGCCUCAAAAUGCACACCAGUAAUGUUUUUUGUUGAAACCAGUUAUAUUUCCUAAUUAAACUAAGGCCUAGUCCUGGAUUAAGCUAAUCCACUGUCCGGGAAACCGCCCCUAAAUGUUUUGUGACGGAAAUUUCUUUGAAUACACUUGUCAAGUUCAUUUUAAGUAUUUUUCUAAAUGUAAGAUAACAUGUUAAUGUUUCAGGACAAGUUAAAAUUUUUUGAUAAUUUGCAUGUUGGAAACGAUUUCAGACAUUGUUCUAUUCAACAUGUUUAGCACAGUUGCUUUUAAAUUCAAUGAAUUAUUUUAUAAAUAGUGUUUUAAAACGUAUCAAUGUAAUGUAUGUUUGAAGUUAUUAUACUUGCACUUACAUUUAUUUAAAUUAGCAUACAUCUAGCAACAUACGGACUACCG